GACGAACCGUGCGAACGUUGUUCGGAAUCACUGGGCUUGAAGGGCGCGUAGGCGGGCUUGCAAGUCCGGGGUGAAAUCCUCCCGCUCAACGGGAGAACGGCCUCGGAGACUGCCGGCCUCGAGGCGGGUAGGGGCGUGCGGAACUCUGGGUGGAGCGGUGAAAUGCGUUGAUAUCCAGAGGAACUCCGGUGGCGAAGGCGGCACGCUGGACCCGAUCUGACGCUGAGGCGCGAAAGCCAGGGGAGCGAACGGG
rnacentral:rRNA from 1 species